AGUUAAGCACUCAGCCACUACUUCACAACAUUCUUGAAGAAUGGACACUUAAUCACACUGGAGCAACUCAUUUAUAUGUAGCUGACAUAAAAUCCAAA
rnacentral:lncRNA from 1 species